AAUGAACGCUGGCGGCAGGCCUAACACAUGCAAGUCGAACGGAUCCUUCGGGAUUAGUGGCGGACGGGUGAGUAACGCUUGGGAACAUACCCUUUGGUACGGAAUAGCCUCGGGAAACUGGGAGUAAUACCGUAUGUGGUCGAGAGACGAAAGAUUUAUCGCCAAAGGAUUGGCCCGCGUUGGAUUAGGUAGUUGGUGGGGCAAUGGCCUACCAAGCCGACGAUCCAUAGCUGGUUUGAGAGGAUGAUCAGCCACACUGGGACUGAGACACGGCCCAGACUCCUACGGGAGGCAGCAGUGGGGAAUCUUAGACAAUGGGGGAAACCCUGAUCUAGCCAUGCCGCGUGAUCGAUGAAGGCCUUAGGGUUGUAAAGAUCUUUCAGGUGGGAAGAUAAUGACUGUACCACCAGAAGAAGCCCCGGCUAACUCCGUGCCAGCAGCCGCCGUAA
rnacentral:rRNA from 1 species